GACAGAGGAUGCAAGCGUUAUCCGGAAUGAUUGGGCGUAAAGCGUCUGUAGGUGGCUUUUUAAGUCCGCCGUCAAAUCCCAGGGCUCAACCCUGGACAGGCGGUGGAAACUACCAAGCUGGAGUACGGUAGGGGCAGAGGGAAUUUCCGGUGGAGCGGUGAAAUGCGCAGAUAUCAGGAAGAACACCCGUGGCUAAGGCGGCUCUCUAGUACGGUACUGACGCUGAGACGCGAAAGCGUGGGGAGCGAACAGG
rnacentral:rRNA from 1 species